CGACAGUGAUGAGCCUUUUAUCCCGAAACUGAUAAUCCAUUGAUGAGCAAAAUAUAGAUCUGACUGCUGAGUU